rnacentral:rRNA from 1 species
UACCAGCACCCCGAGUGGUCGGGACGAUUAUUGGGCCUAAAGCAUCCGUAGCCGGUUCUACAAGUCUUCCGUUAAAUCCACCUGCUCAACAGUUGGGCUGCGGAGGAUACUAUAGAGCUAGGAGGCGGGAGAGGCAAGCGGUACUUAGUGGGUAGGGGUAAAAUCCGUUGAUCCAUUGAAGACCACCAGUGGCGAAGGCGGCUUGCCAGAAUGCGCUCGACGGUGAGGGGUGAAAGCUGGGGGAGCAAACCGG